rnacentral:rRNA from 1 species
AGUGGCGCAGCUAACGCACUAAGUUGACCGCCUGGGGAGUACGGCCGCAAGGUUAAAACUCAAAUGAAUUGACGGGGGCCCGCACGAGCGGUGGAGCAUGUGGUUUAAUUCGACGCAACGCGAAGAACCUUACCUGGCCUUGACAUCCUGCGAACUUUCUAGAGAUAGAUUGGUGCCUUCGGGAACGCAGUGACAGGUGCUGCAUGGCCGUCGUCAGCUCGUGUCGUGAGAUGUUGGGUUAAGUCCCGUAACGAGCGCAACCCCUAUCCUUGGUUGCUAGCAGUUCGGCUGAGAACUCCAGGGAGACUGCCGGUGACAAACCGGAGGAAGGUGGGGAUGACGUCAGGUCAUCAUGGCCCUUACGGCCAGGGCUACACACGUGCUACAAUGGCGCGCACAGAGGGCUGCAAACCCGCGAGGGUAAGCCAAUCUCUUAAAACGCGUCGUAGUCCGGAUCGCAGUCUGCAACUCGACUGCGUGAAGUCGGAAUCGCUAGUAAUCGCGAAUCAGAAUGUCGCGGUGAAUACGUUCCCGGGCCUUGUACACACCGCCCGUCACACCAUGGGAGUGGAUUGCACCAGAAGUGGUUAAUCUAGCCUUCGGGAGGACGAUCACCACGGUGUGGUUCAUGACUGGGGUG